CCACUGGUUACAGUUUACUGGCCGCCUGUUGAGGGGCCCUAACACACCGUGGCGUCUUUGUUUAUUACAGUUUGCAUAAUUUUUACAGAAUUGGGGGAUGGGGGGAGUAUUUCAGUGGUAAGAAGGAUGCUGAAGUUGAUACCGGUAAGUGUUGGUACGUCUAGGGGAAGCUUAAGUACUUCGAUCGCGUCCUUUAGUUCCCGUCUUGCUGCGGAGUAGUGUGGACAUUGUAAAAGGACGUGUGCUGUAUUUUCUUUUUCUGGGCAUCCGUGCAUGCAUUCUGGUUGUAUAUCCAUAUCUCACUUGCUGAUUGUGCCGUUGAGUUUGUUGUGCCCGCUUCGUAACCUCAACAAUGCAGAUUGUAUGGCUUGGUUUGUGUGAGUAUGCCAGCUAUAGAUCCCCAUCCGUAUCCUAUUCGUUACUGCUACGUUUGUGGAAUUUCUUUUUGUUUUUUCAAAUACCAUCUUGUCAUGGUUGUUUUUUAUUUUCGUGAGGAUUUCUGCUGUGUUUGGUGUGUGUGUCAUCGUCUUGCCGUCGUCUGCAUUUCUUCUUGAGUUUGCGAGCUGGUCGGCAAUUUAAUUUCCUUUAAUCCCGGCAUGACUUGGGAUGUGGAUGCUUGAUGCCCAUUUGAAGUGAGUUAUUGCUUGUAUUGCAGCCAUGGAGUCUGUGUAAAUAGUUAUCUCGUUCCAGUCUUGGGUGUAGGUAUGUACACUGCACAGGUUGUCUUCUUUGAAGUCUUACAUGUUGACCCGUCAGUGUAUAUGGCUAGAUGGUCUUGAUGCUCUUGGUUCUGGAUUUCAAGGAAUGUAUUUGUGGCAAGAGUUGCAUUAUUUCUCGCUGUUCUCUUGGUUACAGGUAAGAAGUCUGUCUUUAUAUCAAAUAGUUUCCAUGGUGCCAUUGGGUCUACGUAGGGUUGAUGAGUUGGCUCCUGUAAGUGGAGGCAGAAGUCCCGGCCCAUGUUGUUGAGGUGUAGUGAGGUGGCUGGUGUGCUUCUUGUUUUCCAGUUGGCUUUUUCCUUUGCUAGUUUGUACAUUGUAGGGUAUGCGGAGUUCCAUGGCUUGCUUCUUAACUUUGUCAGGUAUCUGGCAGCGAGCAUGUUCCAUCUGUCUCUGAUGGAUGUGAUACCAGUUUCCAUUUGGAUUAAUGGGAUUGGUGUAGAUUUGAAGCAGCCUAGGAUAGUGCGUAAUAUUUGAUUUUGGGUUGUUUCCAGUUUGAGUAGUCUUGUUUUUGGUAUUGUUGCGAGAAUGAAGGAUCCGUAGUCGAUUUUACUGCGGAUUAGGGCGACAUAGAUUCUUACUAGCAGUUUUAAUUGUAGUGUUGAUUUUCCGUGGGUGAGGGAUUUUAUGCAAUUCGAUCGACGGCAUAGGUUUGCGUGGAUGUAGUUAAUGUGUGGAUCCCAAUUUAACUUUGAAUCAAAUAUGACUCCCAAGAACUUGUAGUUGUUUUUUUCAGCAAUGCGGAUGUUGUUAAGUGUUAGGUUGAGUUCACUUUCAUCUGU